GAUGAACGCUGGCGGCGUGCCUAAUACAUGCAAGUCGAGCGAAUGGAUUAAGAGCUUGCUCUUAUGAAGUUAGCGGCGGACGGGUGAGUAACACGUGGGUAACCUGCCCAUAAGACUGGGAUAACUCCGGGAAACCGGGGCUAAUACCGGAUAACAUUUUGAACCGCAUGGUUCGAAAUUGAAAGGCGGCUUCGGCUGUCACUUAUGGAUGGACCCGCGUCGCAUUAGCUAGUUGGUGAGGUAACGGCUCACCAAGGCAACGAUGCGUAGCCGACCUGAGAGGGGGAUCGGCCACACUGGGACUGGGACACGGCCCAGACUCCUACGGGAGGCAGCAGUAGGGAAUCUUCCGCAAUGGACGAGAGUCUGACGGAGCAACGCCGCGUGAGUGAUGAAGGCUUUCGGGUCGUAAAACUCUGUUGUUAGGGAAGAACAAGUGCUAGUUGAAUAAGCUGGCACCUUGACGGUACCUAACCAGAAAGCCACGGCUAACUACGUGCCAGCCGCCGCCGUAA
rnacentral:rRNA from 1 species